GGAGCUAUCUUCCAGCGGCUAGGAAGCCGGAUUUUCACUCCGGUAACUGGGGUUCGAUUCCCCAUAGCUCUA
rnacentral:tRNA from 1 species